AGUGAACGCUGGCGGUAGGCCUAACACAUGCAAGUCGAACGGCAGCACAGUAAGGGCUUGCUCUUACGGGUGGCGAGUGGCGGACGGGUGAGGAAUACAUCGGAAUCUACUUUUUCGUGGGGGAUAACGUAGGGAAACUUACGCUAAUACCGCAUACGACCUACGGGUGAAAGCAGGGGAUCUUCGGACCUUGCGCGAUUGAAUGAGCCGAUGUCGGAUUAGCUAGUUGGCGGGGUAAAGGCCCACCAAGGCGACGAUCCGUAGCUGGUCUGAGAGGAUGAUCAGCCACACUGGAACUGAGACACGGUCCAGACGCCGACGGGAGGCAGCAGUGGGGAAUAUUGGACAAUGGGCGCAAGCCUGAUCCAGCCAUACCGCGUGGGUGAAGAAGGCCUUCGGGUUGUAAAGCCCUUUGUUGGGAAAGAAAAGCAGCAGGUUAAUACCCCGCUGUUCUGACGGUACCCAAAGAAUAAGCACCGGCUAACUUCGUG
rnacentral:rRNA from 1 species